CAACUACUCCCUCUGUCCCAAAUUUCUUGUCUUAGAUUUGUCUAAAUACGGAUGUAUCUAAUACUAAAAUGUGACUUGAUACAUCCGUAUCUAGAAAAAUCUAAGACAAGAAUUUUUGGACGGAGGGAGUACUUU
rnacentral:pre_miRNA from 1 species